rnacentral:SRP_RNA from 1 species
UCGUGCAGCCGGGGUGGUAGCGGUACCUUGAACCUGCAAUCCGCUAUAGCAGGGGUGAUAUUGCGCAGAGGGCGACAGUCUGCAGGGCUGCCCCCGGAAAGUGACGUUGACGUCUGGGUCUCACGCGACGGGACUCUGUGAACCGUGUCAGGUCGGGAACGGAGCAGCACUAAGCAGAACCUCUCGGGUGCCGUGAGGGUGCCUGGGCUGAGUUAACUAUCGGGGUAACGCUUGUGGGCCAAGUUCGAAGCGCAAUGCACGU